CCUACGGGAGGCAGCAGUAAGGAAUAUUGGUCAAUGGACGAAAGUCUGAACCAGCCAUGCCGCGUGAAGGAUGAAGGCCCUCUGGGUUGUAAACUUCUUUUAUAGGGGACGAAAAAAGGGAAUUCUUUCCCACUUGACGGUACCCUAGGAAUAAGCACCGGCUAACUCCGUGCCAGCAGCCGCGGUAAUACGGAGGGUGCAAGCGUUAUCCGGAUUUACUGGGUUUAAAGGGUGCGUAGGUGGGCAGUUAAGUCAGUGGUGAAAUCUCCGAGCUUAACUCGGAAACUGCCAUUGAUACUAUCUGUCUUGAAUAUCCUGGAGGUGAGCGGAAUAUGUCAUGUAGCGGUGAAAUGCUUAGAUAUGACAUAGAACACCAAUUGCGAAGGCAGCUCACUACGGGAUUAUUGACACUGAGGCACGAAAGCGUGGGGAUCAAACAGGAUUAGAUACCCUGGUAGUCCACGCCCUAAACUAUGGAUACUCGACAUCAGCGAUACACUGUUGGUGUCUGAGCGAAAGCAUUAAGUAUCCCACCUGGAAGUACGAUCGCAAGAUUGAAACUCAAAGGAAUUGACGG
rnacentral:rRNA from 1 species